rnacentral:rRNA from 1 species
UACGAAGGGGGCUAGCGUUGUUCGGAAUCACUGGGCGUAAAGAGUACGUAGGCGGAUUGUUAAGUCAGGGGUGAAAUCCCGAGGCUCAACCUCGGAACUGCCUUUGAUACUGGCAAUCUUGAGUCCGGGAGAGGUGAGUGGAACUCCUAGUGUAGAGGUGAAAUUCGUAGAUAUCGGGAGGAACACCAGUGGCGAAGGCGGCGACCUGGGCCAAUAUUGACGCUGAGGUGCGAAAGCGUGGGGAGCAAACAGG